rnacentral:lncRNA from 1 species
ACGUCUACAGAGAGCCUGCCUAGAGUCUGGAUUUUUUAAGCUGCUGGAUACCAGGUGCUACCUGACACCAGCUCAUCCCCUGCCUCUAGAGUCCUGGAGGGCUUUGAGUUGAUCACUUUCCACUCCAGGAAUGUUAUAAGAAACCGCUCAGAAAGGGGAAUUCUUGCCCACAGGUGUUGAUGACGUACUUCCAGGGAACCUCAGAGGCCACAAGGUCUUUCAGGCAGUGCAGGUCAGCCUGGAGCCUGGAGAUCCCUGUGUAGAACAGAGACUCCCUCUCAGAAGCCACAGAGACGUUUGUGAAGCAGCUCAGUAGCUUUCUUACAGCGUCUUUGAAAGUGACUGGGGCCUUCUGAUCCACAUGAACACAGUAGAUGUUUUGGGGAGUGUAGAUGGCCCUCAAGAGUCUUUCAAAUGUAUCAGUCUUUGCGGAUGACCAUGACAUAGGCCAAAGGGAACUCGGCUUCGUCUUUGGACACAGGUUCCAUUAUGCAGUGAUUUCGGAUCAAGUAUCGCUGGCAGGUUAUUAUUUCUCAAUGGCGUCACUGGUAUAUUUUCAUCCAAGAACAUUUUCUUGCCUGUCACAAUCAUGCCACACACUUCUGCAAGGACUGAAGAGUUUGAGAUCUUCCCCCAUGGAAGAUAUUUUUGCGGGACCUAAUAGUUACUAUACAGGAAUAAAAGAGUUAUGGACGUGGCCAUAAGCCCUAGGACCAACCCAAAUGCCUCUACCUUUAUUUUUCCUAUGGUCUUUUCUGGAUUCAUCAUUCACCUGAUUUUAUGCCAUUGCUGAAGUCAGUCUGCAGGUCCCUGCCCAGACUUGAGAAAUGUGCUCUAGCAACUUAUUUGCAGCAAGAAGUGCAAUAUGACCAUUUACUUAAAAGAAGGAGGAUCAACCACAAGUCGGUAGCUCUUCUAUUUAAAAAAUCAGGUGACUCUUUGAACAUGAGCCAGUGGGGCCAGCUGACCACUUCACAAAAGCCAGGCACAGUUGGGCACCUCUGUCUAGGUCAACCACAAAUUAAGACCCUAGCAAAUCGGCCACAGCUGCCAGCUCAGGGUGUUUUUCCCAUGUGGAGUACAGGUGGAAUGUGUGUUCAUUUGGCACCUCUUUUUCCCAUGCAGAGCCACCAUCACCAUCACUGAUGUCACCUUUGAAUGCAAGGGACACUAUAUUUCUUCAACUUCAGGCAAUCACAGUUGUCCUGAAGUAGGUCACCAUUUACGUGGACAGCACCCAGAACUCCUCGAUAGUGGGGUCUCUUUACUUAAAAAUAAAGAUCAAGAAUUUAUAGUAUUUCAGGAUUGAAAGGAAUCUUGCAGAUUAUUCUCACCAAUUGAUUCAGUUACAAAUAAAGAACACUGACAAUGACCCAUAACGACUAUUCUAUCACAUUUUGUCUCCAUUUUCUCACUGAUGGCCUGAGAGGUAAGCAUUGACAUUAUAUCCACUUUGCACAUGAAGAAAUUACGCCCAAAGAUAUGCUAGCUUGCCUGAUAUCCAGUAAUGAGUUAAUGGCAGCCUGGGGUUUUCAAACCUAACUCUUCUUCUUCUUAUCUUAGAGUUGGGGUCUGGGUCUGUGCCCAGGCUGGAGUGCAAUCACUGCCACAUCAACUUCCUGGACUCAACCCAUCCUCCUGCCUCAGUCUCCUGAGUAGCUGGGACUACAGGUGCCAGCCACAUUGCUUGCCUAAUUAAACAUAAGAUUUUGUUUCUUUUUUUUUGAGACAGAGUUUCACUCUUGUUGCUCAGGCUGAAGUGCAAUGGUGCGAUCUCAGCUCACUGCAACCUCUGCUUCCCAGGUUCAAGCAAUUCUCCUGCCUCAGCCUCCCAAGUAGCUGGGAUUACAUGCACCCACC